rnacentral:lncRNA from 1 species
ACACAUUCCAGUCCUCUUUCUUCGUGAUCAAUUAGCUAUGCAAUUACGGCUGAAAAAAGUUUAAGCAUUGUUUCCUUCAUCGCGAUCGCGGCCAAAAAUCCACGAUCGCGAUGUACGAGUUGCAUUUUUCUCCUCACAGACACCCUUCGAUAUAAUGGCCAUAACUCUUUGUACAAAUUCCAAAUAAAAAAUGGUUUGAUUUCAAGAUUCAAAGAGAAACAACUUUUAUUUUUGGUUCAUCUCCGAAUUCCUUAUAAAUGGCAAGAUAUAAGCUCCCGAAAUCAAAUCACUGACAGCAGAAAUUGCUUCUUCGCGAUCGCAACCCUACCUCACGCGAUCGUGAUUUAUAUGGUCAAAAAUCCACGUUACUCUUCACGGUCGCGGCCUAAACCUCCGCGAUCACGAUUCAUACCCCUGGCAUCAGAUAUCAGUAGUUCAAAAAGGCCUAAAAGUGGUCCGGCACCAUCCCAAAACUCACCUGAGGUCCGAGGAACCUGUCCAAUCAUUCU